UACGUAGGGUGCAAGCGUUGUCCGGAAUUAUUGGGCGUAAAGAGCUCGUAGGCGGUCUGUCGCGUCGGCUGUGAAAACUCGGGGCUCAACUCCGAGCUUGCAGUCGAUACGGGCAGGCUAGAGUUCGGCAGGGGAGACUGGAAUUCCUGGUGUAGCGGUGAAAUGCGCAGAUAUCAGGAGGAACACCGGUGGCGAAGGCGGGUCUGCUGGCCGAUACUGACGCUGAGGAGCGAAAGGCGUGGGGAGCG
rnacentral:rRNA from 1 species